rnacentral:rRNA from 1 species
AGUGAACGCUGGCGGCAGGCCUAACACAUGCAAGUCGAACGGCAGCACAGAGGAGCUUGCUCCUUGGGUGGCGAGUGGCGGACGGGUGAGGAAUACGUCGGAAUCUGCCUAUUUGUGGGGGAUAACGUAGGGAAACUUACGCUAAUACCGCAUACGACCUACGGGUGAAAGUGGGGGACCUUCGGGCCUCACGCAGAUAGAUGAGCCGACGUCGGAUUAGCUAGUUGGCGGGGUAAAGGCCCACCAAGGCGACGAUCCGUAGCUGGUCUGAGAGGAUGAUCAGCCACACUGGAACUGAGACACGGUCCAGACUCCUACGGGAGGCAGCAGUGGGGAAUAUUGGACAAUGGGCGCAAGCCUGAUCCAGCCAUGCCGCGUGUGUGAAGAAGGCCUUCGGGUUGUAAAGCACUUUUGUCCGGAAAGAAAAGCUUAGGGUUAAUAACCUUGAGUCAUGACGGUACCGGAAGAAUAAGCACCGGCUAACUUCGUGCCAGCAGCCGCGGUAAUACGAAGGGUGCAAGCGUUACUCGGAAUUACUGGGCGUAAAGCGUGCGUAGGUGGUUUGUUAAGUCUGAUGUGAAAGCCCUGGGCUCAACCUGGGAAUGGCAUUGGAAACUGGCUUACUAGAGUGCGGUAGAGGGGUGUGGAAUUCCCGGU